UACGGGGGGGGGCAAGCGUUGUUCGGAAUUACUGGGCGUAAAGGGCUCGUAGGUGGCCAACUAAGUCGGACGUGAAAUCCCUCAGCUUAACUGGGGAACUGCGUCCGAUACUGGAUGGCUUGAGUUUGGGAGAGGGAUGCGGAAUUCCAGGUGUAGCGGUGAAAUUCGUAGAUAUUCGGAGGAACACCAGAAGCGAAGGCGGCUCACUGGCCCGGUACUGACGCUGAGGUGCGAAAGCGUGGGGAGCAACCGG
rnacentral:rRNA from 1 species